rnacentral:rRNA from 1 species
UGGGGAAUUUUGGACAAUGGGGGAAACCCUGAUCCAGCCAUCCCGCGUGUGCGAUGCAGGCCUUCGGGUUGUAAAGCACUUUUGGCAGGAAAGAAACGUCAUGGGUUAAUACCCCGUGAAACUGACGGUACCUGCAGAAUAAGCACCGGCUAACUACGUGCCAGCAGCCGCGGUAAUACGUAGGGUGCAAGCGUUAAUCGGAAUUACUGGGCGUAAAGCGUGCGCAGGCGGUUCGGAAAGAAAGAUGUGAAAUCCCAGAGCUCAACUUGGGAACUGCAUUUUUAACUACCGGGCUAGAGUGUGUCAGAGGGAGGUGGAAUUCCGCGUGUAGCAGUGAAAUGCGUAGAUAUGCGGAGGAACACCGAUGGCGAAGGCAGCCUCCUGGGAUAACACUGACGCUCAUGCACGAAAGCGUGGGGAGCAAACAGG